GACGAACGCUGGCGGCGUGCUUAACACAUGCAAGUCGAGCGGUAAGGCCCUUUCGGGGGUACACGGGCGGCGAACGGGUGAGUAACACGUGGGUGACCUGCCCUCAGCUCUGGGAUAAGCCUGGGAAACCGGGUCUAAUACUGGAUAUGACUCCAUGACGCAUGUUGUGGGGUGGAAAGCCUUGUGCGGCUGAGGAUGGGCCCGCGGCCUAUCAGCUUGUUGGUGGGGUGANGGCCUACCAAGGCGACGACGGGUAGCCGGCCUGAGAGGGCGACCGGCCACACUGGGACUGAGACACGGCCCAGACUCCUACGGGAGGCAGCAGUGGGGAGUCUUGCGCAAUGGGCGAAAGCCUGACGCAGCGACGCCGCGUGAGGGAUGACGGCCU
rnacentral:rRNA from 1 species